rnacentral:sRNA from 1 species
ACGUUUGGAGACCAUGCACACUUAAUUCUCAGUGAGGAUGGUCCUGCUGAAACAGGAGCGGAGAGGAAGCAUAGCCUGUUGGACUGCGGAGGGAGCUGUGGGCUUCUGCAGCCCUCUCUGCUCCUCUGACGCCCACUUGGCAGUUGCCCUGGACUUGACUGUGGCCCUGUAAUGGAUGUGACAUCGUCUGCCCCCUAGCAGGAAAGCUGGCAGCCUCCUCUGACUGGUGGUCACUGGCCUAGCCCUUUACUGGAAGCUGGUUAGAAAGGACACUUCGGCUGUUCCCUGGAACUGGCUGCUCAAAAUAACUCCUCCUCAGCUGGUUGGACUGAAGCGGAAAACAUCUUCAAUACUCGAUUUCUCACGGGAUAAUUGGGUCACAUCCCGAGAGCUCAGCUGGACUGCACUAACCUCUGCUGCCUUGGAAUGCUGUGCUCCGCUACUGGUUUUCUCAAAGACUCUGGAAAAGACAGCACGGUGCUCUCCUAUAGUGUGCAUACUCUAAGUGGCAAGCUUCUGAGUUUCAAGCUUCCUGCUUCUUCAGCUCUUAACAAACCUGCUUGGAAGCUAUCGAGAAAGAUUAUGGGACAUGCGAGUGAAUUUGCAAGUGCUUACUGGUGCCGCCCAGGUCAUACUGAAGAGGAACAGUCCAACAGACACAGCCUGCAUCGUCACACGGCUCUCUGAAAGAUAGCAAGAACCUGUCUGAGCAGUGCCAGCUAUGCAUUGCAGACUCGAAGGCAUGUACAUGCAGACAACCCUCCCGCAUAAGUUCAUUUCCCUUUGAUAUAUAGAAUUACAUCCCUCAUAUGUACAUCCUAUCGAAUUAGCAUUUGCAUAAAUGUAUGUGCUUUUCACAAUUAGUUCAUAGUCAGGGUUAAUCUAUUAAUCUCUAUUUCAUUGCUGAUUACUCUCGUGCAAAAAUAAAAAUAUUGACUAUAAUUAAUCCAAUAA